rnacentral:rRNA from 1 species
UGGGGAAUAUUGCGCAAUGGGCGAAAGCCUGACGCAGCAACGCCGCGUGAGUGACGAAGGUCUUCGGAUUGUAAAGCUCUUUUGGCGGGGACGAUAAUGACGGUACCCGCAGAAUAAGCCCCGGCUAACUUCGUGCCAGCAGCCGCGGUAAUACGAAGGGGGCUAGCGUUGUUCGGAUUUACUGGGCGUACAGGGAGCGUAGGCGGUUGGGUAAGCCCUCCGUGAAAUCUCCGGGCCUAACCCGGAAAGUGCGGAGGGGACUGCUCGGCUAGAGGAUGGGAGAGGAGCGCGGAAUUCCCGGUGUAGCGGUGAAAUGCGUAGAGAUCGGGAGGAACACCUGAGGUGAAGACGGGUUGCUGGGCUGACACUGACGCUGAGGCGCGAAAGCCAGGGGAGCAAACGGGAUUAGAUACCCCCGUAGUCCCUGAGCGGGCUGGCAAGGCGCAU